ACACAUGCAAGUCGAACGGGAUCCAUUGGUGCUUGCACUUUUGGUGAGAGUGGCGAACGGGUGAGUAACACGUGAGUAACCUGCCCUUUUCUUUGGGAUAAGCCUGGGAAACUGGGUCUAAUACUGGAUGUUCCGGCUUCCUCGCAUGGGGUUGUUGGGAAAGGUUUUUUCUGGAUUGGGAUGGGCUCGCGGCUUAUCAGCUUGUUGGUGGGGUGAUGGCUUACCAAGGCUUUGACGGGUAGCCGGCCUGAGAGGGUGGUCGGUCACACUGGGACUGAGAUACGGCCCAGACUCCUACGGGAGGCAGCAGUGGGGGAUAUUGCACAAUGGACGCAAGUCUGAUGCAGCGACGUCGUGUGGGGGAUGAAGGCCUUCGGGUUGUAAACUCCUUUCGCCUGCGGAAAAGGCAGGGUUUUGGCCUUGUUGAUGGUAGUGGGUAAAGAAGCGCCGGCUAACUACGUGCCAGCAGCCGCGGUAAUACGUAGGGCGCGAGCGUUGUCCGGAAUUAUUGGGCGUAAAGGGCUCGUAGGCGGUUUGUCGCGUCUAGCGUUUAAGGCUCGGGCUUAACCCGGGUUUGCGUUGGGUACGGGCAGGCUUGAGUGCGGUAGGGGUAACUGGAAUUCCUGGUGUAGCGGUGGWAUGCGCAGAUAUCAGGAGGRACACCGGUGGCGAAGGCGGGUUACUGGG
rnacentral:rRNA from 1 species